rnacentral:rRNA from 1 species
CCUACGGGUGGCAGCAGUGGGGAAUAUUGGGCAAUGGGCGCAAGCCUGACCCAGCAACGCCGCGUGAAGGAAGAAGGCUUUCGGGUUGUAAACUUCUUUUCUGAGGGACGAAGAAAGUGACGGUACCUCAGGAAUAAGCCACGGCUAACUACGUGCCAGCAGCCGCGGUAAUACGUAGGGGGCAAGCGUUAUCCGGAUUUACUGGGUGUAAAGGGAGCGUAGACGGGAGGUUAAGUCUGGAGUGAAAGGCAGGGGCCCAACCCCUGGACUGCUCUGGAAACUGUCCGGCUGGAGUGCAGGAGAGGUAAGUGGAAUUCCUAGUGUAGCGGUGAAAUGCGUAGAUAUUAGGAGGAACACCAGUGGCGAAGGCGGCUUACUGGACUGUAACUGACGUUGAGGCUCGAAAGCGUGGGGAGCAAACAGGAUUAGAUACCCGUGUAGUC